rnacentral:rRNA from 1 species
GUCUUUUUGAAAAAAUUUAAGGUCCAAUCUGCUCACUGAAUUAUUAAAGAGCCGCAGUAUAUUGACUGUGCAAAGGUAGCAUAAUCAAUAGUUUUUUAAUUGAAAACUUGUAUGAAAGAUUAGACAAAAAAUUUAUUUUCUUUAUUUUAGUAAAUUGAAAUUUAAUUUUAAGUGAAAAUGCUUAAUUUUUAUUAAAAGACGAGAAGACCCUAUAGAUUUUUAUUAUUGAAAUAAAUUUUAUUUUUAAAUUUAAUAAAAUAAUUUAAUUGGGGCGAUUUUGUAAUAUAUAAAACUUAAUUUUUUAAAACCAUAAAUAAUUGAAUAUUUUGAUCUAAAAUUUUUAAAGAAAGAUUAAAUUACCUUAGGGAUAACAGCGUAAUUUUAUUUAAGAGUUCAUAUCUAUAAUAAAGUUUGCGACCUCGAUGUUGAAUUAAGAUAAUAUAUUGGAGUAGAAAUUAAUAUAAUUAGUCUGUUCGACUAUUAAAUUCU